rnacentral:rRNA from 1 species
AGUGAACGCUGGCGGUAGGCCUAACACAUGCAAGUCGAACGGCAGCACAGUAAGAGCUUGCUCUUACGGGUGGCGAGUGGCGGACGGGUGAGGAAUACAUCGGAAUCUACUUUUUCGUGGGGGAUAACGUAGGGAAACUUACGAUAAUACCGCAUACGACCUACGGGUGAAAGCAGUGGAUCUUCGGACCUUGCGCGAUUCAAUGAGCCGAUGUCGGAUUAGCUAGUUGGCGGGGUAAAGGCCCACCAAGGCGACGAUCCGUAGCUGGUCUGAGAGGAUGAUCAGCCACACUGGAACUGAGACACGGUCCAGACUCCUACGGGAGGCAGCAGUGGGGAAUAUUGGACAAUGGGCGCAAGCCUGAUCCAGCCAUACCGCGUGGGUGAAGAAGGCCUUCGGGUUGUAAAGCCCUUUUGUUGGGAAAGAAAAGCAGCAGGUUAAUACCCCGCUGUUCUGACGGUACCCAAAGAAUAAGCACCGGCUAACUUCGUG